CAGCCGCCGCGGGAAUACGUAGGGUGCAAGCGUUAAUCGGAAUUACUGGGCGUAAAGCGUACGCAGGCGGUUAUAUAAGUCAGAUGUGAAAUCCCCGGGCUCAACCUGGGAACUGCAUUUGAGACUGUAUGGCUAGAGUGUGUCAGAGGGGGGUAGAAUUCCACGUGUAGCAGUGAAAUGCGUAGAUAUGUGGAGGAAUACCGAUGGCGAAGGCAAUCCCCUGGGCCUGCACUGACGCUCAUGCACGAAAGCGUGGGGAGCAAACAGGAUUAGAGACCCCAGUAGUCCCUGUCUCUUAUAA
rnacentral:rRNA from 1 species